UGGGGAAUUUUGGACAAUGGGCGAAAGCCUGAUCCAGCAAUGCCGCGUGUGUGAAGAAGGCCUUCGGGUUGUAAAGCACUUUUGUCCGGAAAGAAAUCCUUGGCUCUAAUACAGUCGGGGGAUGACGGUACCGGAAGAAUAAGCACCGGCUAACUACGUGCCAGCAGCCGCGGUAAUACGUAGGGUGCAAGCGUUAAUCGGAAUUACUGGGCGUAAAGCUGCGCAGGCGGUUUGCUAAGACCGAUGUGAAAUCCCCGGGCUCAACCUGGGAACUGCAUUGGUGACUGGCAGGCUAGAGUAUGGCAGAGGGGGGUAGAAUUCCACGUGUAGCAGUGAAAUGCGUAGAGAUGUGGAGGAAUACCGAUGGCGAAGGCAGCCCCCUGGGCCAAUACUGACGCUCAUGCACGAAAGCGUGGGGAGCAAACAGGAUUAGAUACCCUGGUAGUCCACGCCCUAAAACGAUGUCAACUAGUUGUUGGGGAUUCAUUUCCUUAGUAACGUAGCUAACGCGUGAAGUUGACCGCCUGAGGAGUACGGUCGCAAGAUUAAAACUCAAAGGAAUUGACGGGGUCAUAGCUGUUUCCU
rnacentral:rRNA from 1 species